UCUCGAUUCGUCUAGUGGUUAGGAUACCUGCUUGUCACGAUGGCAGCAAAUCGCAGGUGGCCGGGGUUCAAUUCCCCGAUCGGGAG